CUUAGUUUCUUUCAAGCUGUUAUGCCAGUUUUCGGUAGAGUUUUUAGUUUCCUGGUAAUCUCUUUGAACCUGCUUCAUGUAUUCUAUGCUUUCUCUAUUUUCUCCAUUAAACAAUUCUCCCCUCUUUUUCUGCUCUUCCAUUCCACCAUCUGUUUUUUCUUGGGUGGUGCUUAGCAUUUCUCUAACUAUUCUGCUUAUGUCUAGCUUCAGGUCAUUAAUAACUUCAUUCCUGAACUUGUCUAUGAGACUCUAGAGACAGCGCUUUAUAUCUAUUGGUGCUGUGUCUGCUAUUGCCUCUUUCCCAGGAUUGGGGGCCGAGGAGCCUUUCUUAUUGUUGCCUCUUCCCAUAUUCUUUGUUCCUUAUAUAUGCAAGCAUAUAUAGGAGGCCCAGCUUCCUUCCCUGUCAGCCACAGUCUGAUUGAAUUGCGCCGGCUAGGUGUUCCCACCCACCGCAGUGCACCAGGAAGUUGCAGACCAGGCAGCCUAUGCGGGACCCGCCCCUCCAGGUCAAUCUACCUUCAGGCGCUGGGACCUGGGUUGUGCUAGCCUACUGGGUCUCAGCCAGCAGCAUCACGUAGGCUAGGCACUGCUCACCAAUUCUGCUUGAGAGGGGGAUACGUGACUGAAGUCACUGCAGCGCCCUGUUCCCACAAGUCUGCCCGGACCCAGAAUGUCCUCUGUUGGAGUCUCCUAGACCGCGGAAGAGUCCCAGUUUCUCUCACUCACCGCAGCCAUACCAGCCCGUGGCCGUGAGGACAGGAGUAACCGCCUGGCUGAUUGCAGGAGGGCGAUGCCUAAACUCACACUGGCAUCCGCUGAGACCUGCACAGCUGUGGGCUCCCAGGUACCAGUCUUGUGACUGUGUCGCCGGAGUGUGAGUGCAUCCUGGGCUCCUGCCUGGCCAGGUGUCUGCGCAGAUAACAAUGGUUAAAGUCCACAGCGCUGUCCUGUGAUGGGCGUCCUGCACUCGCUCCUGAUCCAGAGUUCACUGGGGACUCCGCACAACCUUGGCACCAGCUGCAACAGGUGGACCUUGGCUUGGACUGUGGACUGUUCAGGACACUCAUAAGACACCGGAGUGCCAGACGGGUGAUGCAGUUGAGCCAGGGUUAAUUUUCGUAGACAGCUGGUGGGGGUCAGCAUCCUGUCCCCUGGGAGCCAGCACACACCUCAGCUUUUCAGGGGGGAGCUUCAGGGUUCAGGAUGGCUAGAACUCAUUUUCAGGGUUCAUGUUUAAAUAACAGAUGUGCCUUCUACAGAGAGAUACUGUGAACGUGGCUAAAUGUGAAAAGAAUGAAUAUUCUUUGAACUAAUAAUUUUUCAAUAUCUUUCUAUAUAUGAAAUAAAAAAAUAAAAUAUUUAGAGGAAAAGCUAAAAGUACAAUUUGGAAAAUC